rnacentral:rRNA from 1 species
CGCCAGACUCCUACGGGAGGCAGCAGUGGGGAAUAUUGCACAAUGGGGGGAACCCUGAUGCAGCGACGCCGCGUGGGUGAAGAAGUCAUUCGUGACGUAAAGCCCUAUCAGCAGGGAAGAAAAUGACGGUACCUGACUAAGAAGCCCCGGCUAACUCCGUGCCAGCAGCCGCGGUAAUACGGAGGAUGCGAGCGUUAUCCGGAUUUAUUGGGUUUAAAGGGUGCGCAGGCGGCCUGUUAAGUCAGCGGUAAAAGCCGGGGGCCCAACCCGGGCGAGCCGUUGAAACUGGCGGGCUGGAGUUGGAGAGAAGUACGCGGAAUGCGCGGUGUAGCGGUGAAAUGCUUAGAUAUCGCGCAGAACCCCGAUUGCGAAGGCAGCGUACCGGCUCCACACUGACGCUGAGGCACGAAAGCGUGGGUAUCGAACAGGAUUAGAUACCCGAGUAAC